rnacentral:rRNA from 1 species
CUUGGUCAUUUAGAGGAAGUAAAAGUCGUAACAAGGUUUCCGUAGGUGAACCUGCGGAAGGAUCAUUACCAAAUCCAAACUAUCAACCCAACAUGUGCAACCCAUUGUCGGCGGCCUGAGCCUCUGUGCCUGGCGCCGGUUACCCGUCUUUGAAAUUUGCCGCGUGAUAGCCGUUCGGGGGUUAUAACACUCUGAGCGGUGCGGCGAAUUCGAGACACUUAUUUGUAACCCAGUGUGAACCACAAGUUACCUGACCGAAUGAAUUGUCGUUUGGUUGGGCGUGCAGUGGUGCUCUCUGAGCGCUGUUGUGCCCCGUCAAAAACAACAAACCUAUGACAACUUUUAACGGUGGAUCUCUUGGCUCGUGCGUCGAUGAAGAACGCAGCCAGCUGCGAUACUUAGUGUGAAUUGCAGAAUUCAGUGAAUCAUCGAGUUUUUGAACGCAAAUUGCACUCUCGGGUCCUCCCGGGAGUAUGUCUGCCCGAGUGUCAUUAAAACCUAUACUCGCCCGUUUCGGGCGGCUGUGAGGGGUGUGUGUGGCAUUUGCAUGCGUGCGAUUGCCGUGCAGACACCUUUAAGAUGAGCGACGCUCCGCCUGAGCACUCUGCCUGGACACUCCUGUGGGUGCCGUCACGCACGGCAUCUAGAGGACGGGUUUAAUGUGGCACUAGACCUGUGGUCUUUUUCUAAUACAUUGCCUGGAGCCGAGGGAGAUGGUCUUGCGGGAACCUUUACAAGUGCGUCUGAAGCAAAACAAUCUAUACCAUGACCUCGGAUCAAACAAGACUACUCGCUGAAUUUAAGCAUAUC